GUCUACAGCCAUACCACCCUGGAAGUAUCCAAUCUUGUCCAAUCUAGGAAGGUAAACAGGAUUGAGCCUGGUUAGCACUUGGAUGGGAGACCACCUGGGAAUACUGGGUGCUGUAGGCU
rnacentral:rRNA from 1 species